CGAACGGAAAGGCCAGUGCUUGCACUGGUACUCGAGUGGCGAACGGGUGAGUAACACGUGGGUGAUCUGCCCUGCACUUCGGGAUAAGCCUGGGAAACUGGGUCUAAUACCGGAUAGGACCACAUUUUGGAUGGUGUGGUGGAAAGUUUUUCGGUGUGGGAUGAGCUCGCGGCCUAUCAGCUUGUUGGUGGGGUAAUGGCCUACCAAGGCGUCGACGGGUAGCCGGCCUGAGAGGGUGUACGGCCACAUUGGGACUGAGAUACGGCCCAGACUCCUACGGGAGGCAGCAGUGGGGAAUAUUGCACAAUGGGCGCAAGCCUGAUGCAGCGACGCCGCGUGGGGGAUGACGGCCUUCGGGUUGUAAACUCCUUUCGCUAGGGACGAAGCGUAUUUGUGACGGUACCUGGAGAAGAAGCACCGGCUAACUACGUGCCAGCAGCCGCGGUAAUACGUAGGGUGCGAGCGUUGUCCGGAAUUACUGGGCGUAAAGAGCUCGUAGGUGGUUUGUCGCGUCGUUUGUGUAAGCCCGCAGCUUAACUGCGGGACUGCAGGCGAUACGGGCAUAACUUGAGUGCUGUAGGGGAGACUGGAAUUCCUGGUGUAGCGGUGGAAUGCGCAGAUAUCAGGAGGAACACCGAUGGCGAAGGCAGGUCUCUGGGCAGUAACUGACGCUGAGGAGCGAAAGCAUGGGUAGCGAACAGGAUUAGAUACCCUGGUAGUCCAUGCCGUAAACGGUGGGCGCUAGGUGUGAGUCCCUUCCACGGGGUUCGUGC
rnacentral:rRNA from 1 species